GGGAAGAUGUGACGAGGGGGACACUUGGUGCCUGAGCCCAGGAAUAAGAAUUAAACAGAGAUAAGAAGAGCUGAAGAAAAUAAACUGCCCAACACACCCACAGGCCAGUAGCCAGUACCUGUUGCUGGAGAUCUCCAGAGGAAGGUAUCUGUUCUGGAGUCCCUGAUGCCAAGCACAGGGCUAGCAGUAAGAAAGAGUCUGAGAGGACAGUAUAAGGAAAGGUACCCUGGGAGAGGUGGCGCCUGCACCUCCAGAGACCCAGCCGCCUUCCUGGAACAAUGAGGACCUUGGAGACAUGACCAUUCACCCUGGGCCAGGAGAACGCCACCUGACUAUACCCUGAAGGGGUGCUUGUUCCACCAGCUCUCUGGGACCUGUUCUUCCUCUAUCCCUGAGGUCCCUCGGAUUCACCUGCUACCUCAUUCUCCGAGGAGGAAAGCUGUCAGUCAGCAGCAGCAGCAGCAGCAAGGGGGGGUGGUGAGGGGGGAGACACAGCCAUGAGCCAGCUACAGCCUUGGAAACUGAGGGGACUCUCACCCAGGAGGGGCCAUGGAAAGCCCAAGAGAGAGCCUUCAGCACCCUCAAGUCCUGCUGGAAGAAUCCAGCGGCACAGACGGCUAGUCAAGCCUGGAGCCUGUGGCAGUGUCACGGUAUAACAGACUCAGCUAGAAAGAGAGAAGAGGCUGCCCACCAGGAUCUGCCCCUCCCAGCCCCAGCCUACUUUCAGAGACCAGCCACAUCUGUAAGAUUCAUUUCUUCCCCAGCCCUCCCUGAAUACGUUCUGCACCUCUAGUUAUCCUUGGAGCCACCUCCAUUGUGGCUGUACCAUCAUGCCCUGCCUGAAGCCACACAUACCACCACCACCUCACCCUCUACUGGAGCC
ensembl:antisense Lrp8os2 low density lipoprotein receptor-related protein 8, apolipoprotein e receptor, opposite strand 2